ACCUCGUCGUAGCCUAUGGUCCCAUUGCAAAUGUCGGCAGCAUGGGGUCUCCCAUGCCUUUAUUGUUGAAGGUGCUUCAGCUUCUCACGCUGUUAAUGGACCCUGGACAAAAAGGAAGAUUUGUAAACGUACAUCCUGCGGUGACAGUUGGAUGCCAGCUUCUGGGCGGCCUUCUCUGUACCUCGUUUAUCGAGUUGACCUUCUUGAGCAGUCCUUCUCAGUUCAAUCAGACGCGAAUGCCGAUGUACGGGGCCCACUACCCAAUCGGCACGACCGUUCAGAACUUGCACCAUUACCA